rfam:Salmo salar isolate Sally breed double haploid chromosome ssa27, whole genome shotgun sequence.
GGCCGGUUAGCUCAGUUGGUUAGAGCGUGGUGCUAAUAAAGCCGUGGUCGUGGAUUCGAUCCCCAUACUGGCCA